AAAAAAGGUAAGCUACUAAGAGCGAAUGGUGGAUGCCUUGACUGGUAAAGGCGAUGAAGGACGUACUAGACUGCGAUAAGCUACGGGGAGCUGUCAAGAAGCUUUGAUCCGUAGAUUUCCGAAUGGGGCAACCCAAUGUAUAGAGAUAUACAUUACCUAUAUAGGAGCGAACGAGGGGAAUUGAAACAUCUUAGUACUCUCAGGAAAAGAAAUCAAUAGAGAUUGCGUCAGUAGCGGCGAGCGAAAGCGCAAGAGGGCAAACCCAGUGCUUGCACUGGGGGUUGUAGGACUGCAAUGUGCAAGAGGUAAGUUUAGCAGAACAUUCUGGAAAGUAUAACCAUAGAGGGUGAUAGUCCCGUAUGCGAAAAACAAACCUUAGCUAGCAGUAUCCUGAGUAGGGCGGGACACGAGGAAUCCUGUCUGAAUCCGGGUCGACCACGAUCCAACCCUAAAUACUAAUACCAGAUCGAUAGUGCACAAGUACCGUGAGGGAAAGGUGAAAAGAACUGAGGUGAUCAGAGUGAAAUAGAACCUGAAACCAUUUGCUUACAAUCAUUCAGAGCCCUAUGUAGCAAUACAGGGUGAUGGACUGCCUUUUGCAUAAUGAGCCUGCGAGUUGUGGUGUCUGGCAAGGUUAAGCAAACGCGAAGCCGUAGCGAAAGCGAGUCUGAAUAGGGCGCUUAGUCAGAUGCUGCAGACCCGAAACGAAGUGAUCUAUCCAUGAGCAAGUUGAAGCUAGUGUAAGAACUAGUGGAGGACUGAACCCAUAGGCGUUGAAAAGCCCCGGGAUGACUUGUGGAUAGGGGUGAAAGGCCAAUCAAACUUCGUGAUAGCUGGUUCUCUCCGAAAUAUAUUUAGGUAUAGCGUUGUGUCGUAAUAUAAGGGGGUAGAGCACUGAAUGGGCUAGGGCAUACACCAAUGUACCAAACCCUAUCAAACUCCGAAUACCUUAUAUGUAAUCACAGCAGUCAGGCGGCGAGUGAUAAAAUCCGUCGUCAAGAGGGAAACAACCCAGACUACCAGCUAAGGUCCCUAAAUCUUACUUAAGUGGAAAACGAUGUGAAGUUACUUAAACAACCAGGAGGUUGGCUUAGAAGCAGCCAUCCUUUAAAGAAAGCGUAAUAGCUCACUGGUCUAGUGAUUUUGCGCGGAAAAUAUAACGGGGCUAAAGUAAGUACCGAAGCUGUAGACUUGCGCACAACUUAGAUUAUUUAAGUUUAGAAUAUGAGAAACUAAGUUAUGUUUAGUUAUAUUUUUACUGAUUUUUAUAGAGUAAAGAUAGAAAUAAAACUUAGUAAAAUCAGUAAAAAUAUUCUUAGGCUAAAGUUAAGUAGUUUAAGUUGUGUGCAAGUGGUAGGAGAGCGUUCUAUUUGCGUCGAAGGUAUACCGGUAAGGAGUGCUGGAGCGAAUAGAAGUGAGCAUGCAGGCAUGAGUAGCGAUAAUUAAUGUGAGAAUCAUUAACGCCGUAAACCCAAGGUUUCCUACGCGAUGCUCGUCAUCGUAGGGUUAGUCGGGUCCUAAGUCGAGUCCGAAAGGGGUAGACGAUGGCAAAUUGGUUAAUAUUCCAAUACCAACAUUAGUGUGCGAUGGAAGGACGCUUAGGGCUAAGGGGGCUAGCGGAUGGAAGUGCUAGUCUAAGGUCGUAGGAGGUUAUACAGGCAAAUCCGUAUAACAAUACUCCGAGAACUGAAAGGCUUUUUGAAGUCUUCGGAUGGAUAGAAGAACCCCUGAUGCCGUCGAGCCAAGAAAAGUUUCUAAGUUUAGCUAAUGUUGCCCGUACCGUAAACCGACACAGGUGGGUGGGAUGAGUAUUCUAAGGCGCGUGGAAGAACUCUCUUUAAGGAACUCUGCAAAAUAGCACCGUAUCUUCGGUAUAAGGUGUGGUUAGCUUUGUAUUAGGAUUUACUCCGAAAG
rnacentral:rRNA from 1 species